rnacentral:rRNA from 1 species
UACGUAGGGGGCAAGCGUUGUCCGGAAUCAUUGGGCGUAAAGAGCGUGUAGGCGGCUCGGUAAGUCGGCUGUGAAAGUCCAGGGCUCAACCCUGGGAUGCCGGUCGAUACUGCCGGACUAGAGUUCGGAAGAGGCGAGUGGAAUUCCCGGUGUAGCGGUGAAAUGCGCAGAUAUCGGGAGGAACACCUAUGGCGAAGGCAGCUCGCUGGGACGUUACUGACGCUGAGACGCGAAAGCGUGGGGAGCAAACAGG